AUUGCUCAGUUUGCCUGCACCAGAGCUUUAGGGAGGACAGACAUGUACGAUGAGACAUUCUCAAUGCAGCAUUACAGAAUCUGGUGGACAAGAUCCCAUUCAGACAGUCAGAUGGAAGAACACAACACACCCCAAAUAGGCCAGUCCUCAGAGCAAAUAACACAGCCAGGGGAUUAAAAUCAUAGCAAUGGCCUUCCGACGUGUUCUUUUGUUUGGUGAAAAGAAAAUGGUGCCUUUGCCGGUGAUGUCUUCCCCAUAUUCUCAUGUCAUUGAUUGUUGUGUGUCACGAGGUGAAGGAACCAAGAUUGUGUCCGAAUGUCUACACUAUCAGUAUACUAUCACGUCAUCAGUGUGCAGCAUUCAUGCAUCUCGACCCAAUUGUGACUGUUCCUCAUCCAAAUUAACCUCACAAUAGAGCCUUCUGAUUGGUUUGUUUCUUAACAGUGGUGCAGCACUUUUGAUUUAGCCCUAGGCGUAGGCCUACCCCGCUUUUGGAUAUUUUAAUUUUUUUUACAACCACUCCAUUCAACAUUAUUUUGACUUAAGAAGUUAGCCCGGAGGUGGCAACAGUAUGGUUUAGACAAUGGAAGACUGCUGAAAUAUGGAAUCUGCAAACUGGUUAAGUGAGGAUGCAAUCAUUCCGGAUUCCACAUUUUACUAUUUUUAGCAUCCUAUUGAUAUUGUCUAAACCGUACCGUCGCCACUUCCGAGCCAACUUCUUAACCAAGACAGGAGGGGAAAACUCUUGAAAUCACACCCAAAUUCUGCAGGUCAAAUAUCCGAGAUUGACGCCAAAACAGACGCAUCAUUAUCACUGAAUUACAAUCAUUGAAGAAGUAGGCCUAUAGACAUGAUUGAUAGACAUGGUAGGUGAUGCUGUGUACUGUAAAAGAAGUGCCCAACCCACUUUUGCAGUCUCCCUCAUAAUCAGUCAAAAUAACUUCAGCUACAGGAGGCUUGGCACAGUAUUUACAUUUAUUCUACACUGAGCAACACGACCAGAUGGUAGAAAUAUGUAGGAGAGGUCUUAUGGGACAUUACCAACACAUAAAACUAUGAACAUUCAUUGACAAUAUCAAAUCUAGCACAGCUUUUCGUGACCUUCUGACUCCACUGAAGAAGCAGGACGCCAUUUUGUUUCUUCACGGGGAGGUGCCAUCCCGAUAAAAUGUUCAAAAACCGGCCGCUGUUUUCUUGUCUUACAGCAGCGCAUCCAUUAAUAUAAUAACCUACCCAAAAU